AAAGUUGCCAAGUAUGUGUGUUGCCUGUCCCAUUAAGGAGAACCAGAUUUUAUAUUUACUGUGUGAAUCAGGAUUAGCCCAAUGCAGGGAGGUGGAAGGAAUGGUCGUGUUAGGGAGAUGAACCGGACAACGUAGAGAUUAUAGAAAAUCAGACCUCUUUAAUAAAUAAUACCUGAAACACUUGGACAGAUUUGUACAUUUAGCUCAGUUUACCACUAGAAAAGAAUAUUUGUAGCUCAGAGUUCAACUGUGGUGUCCUUAGUCCUUUCUCAGCUUGGUUAUAGACAUUUCAUUACCAAACUAGGUAACAUCAUCAGUGCUAGUCGUAAAGAUGACAUUACCUAGUAGAGAUGAUAUUAGCUACUUUGGUAAUGUAACGCCUGCAAGAAAACAAUCAAGCUCCGAGAGCAACAAGGACUCUACAGCUCAGUUGUGUUUCAUUGUGUUCUGUAUUUUUUGCCAUCCUGGAUUUCCUUUUGUCUCCUGUUUACAAUUACCAUAUAAAUUCUCUUUAAAAGGCCUUAUAUUUAAGGAAAUAUAAUGAACUUUCUUCCUCUCUCCCCAAAUAUGCCUUUUUAGAUGGUUUUUGCCUACUGUAUGGUUUUGACCAGAGAAUUCUCUGUAAAAGCAUUUUCUGUGCUAUUAGCAGUAAUUGGCACAUUCAGCAAUUUUGGGGGGGAGUGUGAGCUGAUGACAUAAUUGCAAGAGGCAGAAAACUGUAAAUAUUGAAAUAUCUGCCUUAUGAGAUAUGAAUCAAGACAGGUUGCUAAUAUACAAUCUAUCUGAGUUAUAUUGGCAAAACUUUUGGAAGCUGUAACUGUGGCUGGUCCCUAAGAUGACUCCUGGGACAAUUUGUUCCUUGGUACACGCCAAAUUAACCCCAUCUCAAUUUAAAAAAAAAAUUAAAAAGGAAGCAAGAAAGGGAGAGAAAAGAUGUCUCAAAGAAUGCCAACAAACAGCGAAAAAGGCAAAGGAAAAUACAAGUUUUCAAAACCAACCAGAGAAAUCAUGGACAAUGGUGGGACUACCCCAAGGUACAAAUACAGGCAGUCCUCCCUUUACAACAGUUCAUUUAGUGACCAUUCAAAGUUACAGCGGCACUGAACAAAGUGAUUUAUGACUGUUUUUCACACUUAUGAUGGUUGCUUGUGAUCACGCAUUGAUGAUUGUGUGAUCGAAAUUCAGAUACUUGGCAAGAGGCACAUUUUUAUGAUGGUUGCGUGCAAUCACCUUUUUGCAAAGGUUUGACAAGCGAAGUCAAUGGGGAAGUCGGAUUCAUUUAACAACUGUGUCGCUCAACAACUUCAAUGAUUCGCUUAACAACUGUGGCCAGCAAGGGCGUAAAAUGGGGCAAAAUUCAUUUAACGAAUGUCUCCCUUAGCAAUAUACAUUUUGGGCUCAAUUGCGAUCGUUAAGUUGAGGACUGCCUGUAGAGGUAGGGUUAGCAGGAAUUUGCCACAGGAGAGGAGGAGAGGAGAAUGAUCAGAGGGUGUUCUGAAUGUGAAGUUAGAGGUGCUGAAAAGAUCAUCUCCUUUAAGAGCUGCCAGUUGUCUAUUGUAGGUGAUCGAGGGACUGCUCUCUGCUGAAUAAGCAAAGACCAUGUUCCUGCAACCUCAAUGAACGAGUGAAUAAUAAUGCAAGGAGUUUGCUUUUAUGAUUUCAUGUGAGCUAGCAACUUUUUUGUUUCUGCAUCAGGCAUUUAGACUUGGCUAAUCUAAGAUCCUGGGAUGGGAACAAGAAGAAAUAAAAGCUUUUCAACAGGUUACGCUCUAAGAGGCAAAAGGGGAAAAGGGGAGUCUGCAAUUGUGAGUUGCAAUGCUUAUGGGCAUGGCUCCUUGCCAGAAUACACUGGCAGAUUUCUUUUUCUGCAACAGAUGUGAGCUUGUAGCAGUCUAAAGAAAGGUCAAAGGAUAGGCAGGAUGAAUGGCCCCAUGC